CCAGCGAUUGUCAAACAUAGAAAGGAACUGGCCUUACUACUUUGGGUUUGGCUUGCCCUUGGCUUUCCUCACAGCAAUGCAAUCCUCCUACAUUAUCAGGUAAUUUGGGUAGAAAAAGAAUUCGUAAGCAUCUUUUGUUCAGCUACUGUACCAACAUUUUACAUCAUUUGACCAUCAGGAAGAUUUGUUGCUGUUAAUAGUGACAUUUGGUAUCAUUAAAAUGAAAAUAUAAAAAGAAAUCUAGGCUGCCUCCUGGAGGAAGAUACUUAGGAGUUCAGAAGUGAAGAGAUGAGGCUUAUAAUACUUUUUCCUAAAGUCAUGCCUUGUAUAAUUGACCUUUUUUUCCCUUAAACAGUGGCUGCCUCUUUUCUAUCCUGUUUCCUUUAUUCAUCAUCAGCGCCAAUGAAGCAAAGACUCCUGGAAAAGCAUAUCUUUUCCAGUUGCGCCUCUUCUCCUUGGUGGUCUUUUUAAGCAACAGACUUUUCCACAAGACGGUCUACCUACAGUCGGCCCUGAGCAGCUCAUCCUCCGCAGAGAAAUUC
rnacentral:lncRNA from 1 species